rnacentral:tRNA from 4 species
GCCGGAGUGGUGGAAUUGGUAGACACAAGGGACUUAAAAUCCCUCGAUCUUUGGGUCGUGCCGGUUCAAGUCCGGCCUCUGGUACCA